UACAGAGGGGGCAAGCGUUGUUCGGAAUUACUGGGCGUAAAGGGCGCGUAGGCGGCCUGCUAAGUCGAACGUGAAAUCCCCGGGCUCAACCCGGGAACUGCGUCCGAUACUGGCAGGCUUGAAUUCGGGAGAGGGAUGCGGGAAUUCCAGGUGUAGCGGUGAAAUGCGUAGAUAUCUGGAGGAACACCGGUGGCGAAGGCGGCAUCCUGGACCGAAAUUGACGCUGAGGCGCGAAAGCCAGGGGAGCAAACGGGG
rnacentral:rRNA from 1 species